AAAAGCUGAGCUUCCCAUGGGCUGAUCCUAACCAGUGACUGAACCCCACAAGAAUGGAACUUUUACAUUAACAAGAAGACAAGCAGAUGAGCAUUUCAACCAUUACAACACUGGGAUGCUACAAGAGAUGUUCUUCUGGACCGAAAAUCUCGGUUCUUGGAGUGGAGAGGGAAGAGAGGAAGGCAUUCUUCUCUCAGCAUCUUUGGGAGUGUGAUGGAGUAUUGGAGUCAGAUUACCACAUUAUCCUCCAGAGCUAGAGGCUCUCUUUAAGCUAUCAACAUUCUUUUCAUUAGCUGAAUUAUGGAACAUUGCACAAAUUGCUAUUUUAGGUGUUAGGGGAAUGAACCAGAAAUUCUCCCUCUCACUGGGAGUAGGAAGUGGGGAGUGCUGAGCAUCAGUGUAUCCUGAACUUACAGCCUUACAGAGGAGUCAACUGUCAAGCCUGAAAUGACUUCAUGGAAAACAGAGACAAGAUGCAGGCCGAGAGGAGAAUGGAAACAUAGGUAACACCGAUUUUAUCUUCUGAUCUGCAGUGCCCAGCACAAUGGACCAGGGAGACACACAGGUAAUUGGAUGUCAGCUAGAGCUCUCUCCUUUUUCACACAUGAAGAACCUGAGAUUCGCUUGGUCCUGUGUCUUGUUGCAUAAAACUCGCAGCUUCUGACUUCAAUGAGCCAAGGUCAUUUUUAUGAAGAGUUAAUUUGUUUAAACAGAAUACUUAAAGGAAUAACACAGAGAACCAACAUUAUGAAUGUGUACCUGCAUAUAUAAGAACUCAUCUAGAAAAGUAUCGUCAGUAGAUGGAACAUAGUACGUAAUGAACAGUCCGUGAAAACCACUUCGUUGCCACCAAUGGGAAAUUUUUUGGUUUUCAAAUACAUGAAAGCUGGCAUCAUGCAGAACAAUUUUAUAAGUUUCUGUACACAUGCUAUCAUGUGGCAUUUCUGAAACCUAUUUACUGAAACACUUUGACUUGCCCUAGCUUUUUAUGCCUAUGCAUUUACAUAAAAAUUUACACACAAGUGAAAAUUGAAAAUAUAAUAACUUGCCAAUAUCUGA